AACGAACGCUGGCGGCGUGCCUAACACAUGCAAGUCGCACGAGAAAGGUCUUCGGACCGAGUAAAGUGGCGGACGGGUGAGUAACGCAUGGAUAACCUGCCCUUGAGCGGGGGAUAACCCCGGGAAACCGGAGCUAAUACCGCAUGACAAGUCGCGAGCCUCGGCUCGCGCCUUCAACGCUGGCCUCUGCAUGCAAGCUGGCGCUCGAGGAGGGGUCCAUGUCCCAUUAUGCUAGUUGAUGAGGUAAUGGCCCACCAAGGCGACGAUGGGUAGCCGACCUGAGAGGGUGACCGGCCACACUGGGACUGAGACACGGCCCAGACUCCUACGGGAGGCAGCAGUGGGGAAUUUUGCGCAAUGGGACGAAAGCCUGACGCAGCGACGCCGCGUGGAGA
rnacentral:rRNA from 1 species